rnacentral:rRNA from 1 species
CCUACGGGUGGCUGCAGUCGAGAAUCUUUCACAAUGGGGGAAACCCUGAUGGAGCGACGCCGCGUGGGGGAUGAAGGGCUUCGGCUCGUAAACCCCUGUCAUUUGUGAUCAACCCCUCGACCUAAAUAGGGUCGAGGCUGAUAGUAGCAGAAGAGGAAGGGACGGCUAACUCUGUGCCAGCAGCCGCGGUAAUACAGAGGUCCCAAGCGUUGUUCGGAUUCACUGGGCGUAAAGGGUGCGUAGGUGGCGAGGAAAGUUUGAUGUGAAAGCUCCGGGCUCAACCUGGAAAUGGCAUUGAAUACUGCCUUGCUUGAGGAUUGGAGGGGGGACUGGAAUUCUCGGUGUAGCGGUGAAAUGCGUAGAUAUCGAGAGGAACACCAGUGGCGAAGGCGAGUCCCUGGACAACUCCUGACGCUGAGGCACGAAAGCGUGGGGAGCGAACAGGAUUAGAUACCCCAGUAGUC